CACGUAGGCGGGUCCUUAAGUCAGGGGUGAAAUCCUGGAGCUCAACUCCAGAACUGCCUUUGAUACUGAGGAUCUCGAGUUCGGGAGAGGUGAGUGGAACCGCGAGUGUAGAGGUGAAAUUCGUAGAUAUUCGCAAGAACACCAGUGGCGAAGGCGGCUCACUGGCCCGAUACUGACGCUGAGGUGCGAAAGCGUGGGGAGCAAACA
rnacentral:rRNA from 1 species